rnacentral:tRNA from 1 species
GGGCCCGUAGCUCAGCGGUUAGAGCAGUGGACUCAUAAUCCAUUGGUCGAAGGUUCAAAUCCUUCCGGGCCCA